AAGAAACAAACGACAAAACAGCCCCAGACCCUUUUUGCUGGCAAUAGACGUGGGCGGUGGGGAGAAAUUAAACGUCCCCCAUCCCCCGCUCUCUGCCGGCAGGCCUGGAUUAGGUGGAUGCAGAGCGGUUAAUCCUAUCCGAGUUUUCAAAACAAGCCCUUAUGUAUAAUAAGAAGUAAAUCUCAUUUUGGGCCGCUGACUGGGUUCAACGGAAAAAUGCCGUGAAAGGAGGGGCCUGCCGUCAGGGCUAAGGCGUUUCCUUCGGAUCCCAGCCAGCGAGGGGAUGUCUGAGGGCAAACUCCGCGGAAGCAUCUCCUCCUCGUGUUUGGGUUCAGGUUUGAUUUAAGAAAAAUAAUGAUGUGUUACCACAUUAUCAUGAUAUGUUUUUUAAAAAAAAAAGGAAAUUGUGCGUUCUGGGAUGUUUUCUAACCCUUUCAGCAUUGAUCCUGAGUUCUCUGCUAAAAUGUUGUUGCAGUCUCUGUGGGUAGGCUCCAGGUGCCACCUCUUCUGGUGUAUCUCUUUGUGCCUGAGGCCACCUCUUGUGUGGCUCAGCUGGCAGGGACAGGCGUGGGUCUGACCUGUGGACCCCUCCUUUGGGGAGCAGGGGAAGGGGGAGCAAAGGAAUAUCCCCCAUGUCCCCGCCUGGCGCCCACCAGGGAGGUGGCAGGGAACCAGGGGAGUCACAGGAACAGUCCCGUAACUUUAGGAACAACCCAAACCACCUCCUUGGCGCUUAUUAGGUGGUGUAGACAACUCACCACUGUGAGAAUUAAAUCCUUGUAUCCUUAAAGCAGUUUCACUGUUUUUUAAAAACUCACUUUUCAGUUUAUGAAUGGAAACGUGUGAUUACUGACAAAAGCACGGACAGUAAUACAGCAGUUGUACAGCAUGUACUUGAGCAUGCUUUCAAAUAGAAGCUUAAGGCAGAGUGAAGGAGGUUUAAUUUUUAAAUGUACGAUCAUCCUUUAUGCUAAAGAGAGACCCUAGAACUUGCAACUUUACUUUUAAUUCAUUUUUCACUGAAAAGUAUACAACUUACCAAAAAAUUUUCUUAUUUGCACUUAGUGAAAUUAUGCGUAUUGAUAUGCACAGACAAUGCAGAUAACUCUUACAUAAAUUCAUCUUUACUGAAAAUGAUAAAUUAAAAAUAUCAGCAGUGUCGUAUAACACAGUCAUGAUCUAAAAGUGUCCUAAGUAAGAAACAAGUGAUUGUGGUUCUCAUAGACUUUAUGGCUGAAUUGCCAGGUCAAAUUGCUAAUGAAACUGUUGAAAACUAUGACAGUGGUUUAGAAAAACAAGGAGACUGAGAUUGUUGGCUGCGCUGUUUCACUUUCCCAGAGGUGGCAACAGUCCCUGCUCUGUUACGGUUUGUGACGGAAAUGGGCAGCUCUGGAUGAGGUUCCUGCUUUGCUCAAGUUGUCCAUUUCUAAGCUUUUGCUCACAAGUUUGGCAAACCCUUUUUCCAUCAAGUAACUAGCACAUUUAUGAUGCGCUCAUAAAGUUAGGCUAAAUUGCACUUAGUACUUUUGUAAAAGAAUACUUAAGAUUUGCCUUUCUGUCUGAGGGGAAAAACUGUCUUUGUAUUUCAUCAUAUAUCCAGCAGUGCAUGAUAGCUCAUGAAGCUUUUAAAAAUGUAAUUUAUCUUCAAUGGAGAACAUGAGGAAAAUUUAGGCCUCAACACUUCUCUGCUGCUAUUCUGCUUUUUUUUUUUUCUUGCUGCUAAUUGGAUUAAAAGCCGUUUUGGUUACUAUGGCAUCCCGUGAGGAGAUUACUGUCUGUGAAGAUGAAUUAAGGUCUCGGUACAGCCACUUAGAGAAGAUGACAGAUUUGGUGGCUGUUUGGGAAGUAGCUUUAAGUGAUGGUGUUCAUAAGAUUGAAUUUGAACAUGGGACCACUUCAGGAAAACGUGUUGUCUAUGUUGAUGGAAAGGAAGAAAUAAGAAAAGAAUGGAUGUUUAAAUUAGUGGGUAAAGAAACAUUCACUGUUGGAGCAGCCAAAACAAAAGCUACUAUUAACAUUGAUGCAGUCGGUGGCUUUGCAUAUGAAUAUACUUUGGAGAUCAAUGGAAAGAGCCUCAAGAAAUAUAUGGAGAACAGGUCAAAAACAACCAAUACUUGGAUACUGAGCUUGGGUGGUACUGAUUAUAGAGUUGUUCUAGAAAAGGACACUAUGGAUGUGUGGUGCAACGGUCAAAAAAUGGAAACAGCGGGUGAAUUUGUAGACGAUGGGACUGAAACUCACUUCAGUGUUGGUGAUUACAGCUGUUGCAUUAAGGCUGUCAGUAGUGGAAAACGGAAGGAAGGAAUUAUUCAUACCCUUAUCGUGGAUAACAGAGAAAUCCCAGAGGCUGUGGAGUAGCCUAUAGUUAACUGAUUGCUGUAGGACUAAGAUCAGGAAUUUUCAAUUACUGUGCAUCCUCUCUAAAAGCAACCUUGGGAUCUCUAUGAGGACUAGACUGGGUUGAGACUGCUCUCCAUUAGGACAGUGCUUUCCACGUGGAUGAAAUGCUUUUCAUAUGACGUUGUUUUUAAUAGUUUCAUGCGAGCCCAUCUUCUCCCCAGCCUUCCAAAGAGACUGACCACCACUGAGAAAUCCGAAGCUCAAAUACAGUCCAAGUCAUGUUCUUAAGACUAUGUGGAAAAAUAACAGCCCACCUUUCACAGAACGGUAUCUACACAGAACAACUCUACAGCCACGAGGAAAAAUUAAUCAUUCAGUAGCUCUUUGUAAUGCCACUGCCUCUAUCAACUGUUAAGCAAAGUCAAGGACACGACAGAACAAGUCCACUGGAGUCCUCUUGUGAUGCGCAAACGAAUACCUCCAAGUUUGAUGAAAGCUGAAGGCUGGCUUGGUGAAGCUGAAAGAGUUUCCUGACCUGAAAGAGUUUCCUGAAGUGAACUGCUAUCACCCAGAAUCACUUCACA